rnacentral:rRNA from 9 species
UCGACCUCAGAUCAGACGAGAUGACCC